rnacentral:lncRNA from 1 species
CAUGCCAAGGAAAGCUCGCCCAGCUGCACAAAAUGCUCUGGUUGACAUCGGGUUUCUGCGCACCAAGCUGCGCCAUGACCAAGGGUUAGAGCCGAGGCGUCCACCGGCUGGGCCACCCCGGACGUGGGCGCUCCAUCUGCUCCUGCGGUUCCUGCUGUGCUUGGCUAAGCCGUGGCUGGAACCGGCGCCCGCCAGAAGUGCAGGAGCCGCCCUGCCGGCAGAAAGAGGGCAUGGUCGCUGAAAACCAGGCCCUGCUGACAAAUCUCAGACGCCAGGAACAGAAGAACCACAAAAAUGGACGGACCGUUGGAACACCUGAGGGUGAAGUUGUGCGAACUCCUCAAAGUGGAACAGCAAAGCAGCCACCAGAGAUGGACUAGAAAGAUGAAAAAUUAGCAGAAAUCAAAGGCAGAUGCUAAAGCAGUGCAAAACCGUUCACACAACGAUAGAGACGGAAUUGAUGAAGAAGUUUGAGAAAUGAAUGACAGAAAGAAAGGACAGCAGUGACCAUGGUAAGGUGCUGACGAUUCUGGUCCACUGGAUCCCAUCAUCCCUAGGGCAGUAAAUCUCAUCACAGUCACCACUCAGCAAGUUACCACCGCAGCAUUUCCUGUUUGUUCCAAAAUGAAUAAAAGUGAUUCUCAUCACAAGGGCAAAUACAGAGUAGUUU